UAGUCCACGCCGUAAACGAUCAUCACUCGCUGUUGGCGAUAUACUGUCAGCGGCCAAGCGAAAGUAUUAAGUGAUGCACCUGGGGAGUACGCCGGCAACGGUGAAACUCAAAGGAAUUGACGGGGGCCCGCACAAGCGGUGGAGCAUGUGGUUUAAUUCGAUGAUACGCGAGGAACCUUACCAGGGCUUAAAUGUAGUAUGACCGGUCUGGAAACAGGCCUUCCCUUCGGGGCAGAUUACAAGGUGCUGCAUGGUUGUCGUCAGCUCGUGCCGUGAGGUGUUGGGUUAAGUCCUGCAACGAGCGCAACCCCUAUUCUUAGUUGCCAGCGGUUCGGCCGGGGACUCUAAGAAGACUGCCAGCGCAAGCUGAGAGGAAGGUGGGGAUGACGUCAAAUCAGCAUGCCCCUUACGCUCUGGGCUACACACGUGCUACAAUGGUUAGGACAAAGAGAUGCGACCUCGCGAGAGCAAGCCAACCUCAAAAACCUAAUCUUAGUUCGGAUUG
rnacentral:rRNA from 1 species